CCGCCCCCUUUCCGCGCCGCGCCCUUUUCUCCAGAACGUUCGGCGCCGCGGUCUGGCGCUCAUCGCGAUGGUCUGCACGGAGCGCCCUGCUGUCCCGACAGCAGCGUGUGCACCACAGACUCGAGUUAACGUAUGGCACGGUGUGCCACCACUUCGAAUGGGGUUUUCUGGGUAUGCAAAGCUUCCCUGCCAUCUUUACCUGCAGCAAAAGGGAACAACGUGGAAAUUCACUACCAGUGGAGAAAAAAAAAAUAAAGCCAACGGCUGAAUUGAACUCAGCUCCCAACGGCUGUGGCUGCACACACAGCACUGAAAAGAAAGAGAGAAUGCUGUUACUGUCUGCGUUUUCUGCUCAGAGAGGUGUUAUUACUGAGCUCUUGCACGUGUGUAAUUCACUCCCCUUAAAAAGCCUGAGAUUUGAUUUAUUUGCUAGUAAUUCUCAAGGAGCUGAUAUUACACAAUGGCUCCCUAGCACUGGAAAACAGCACUACAAAGCAGCCCAGAAAAGGUGGAAAAUAAAAGGACAUUGAAGCAUUACGUUUUUCUUAAGAAACUGAGUCUUUGCAUACCUUAAAUAUUUUGUCUUUCUGAGCCACGAUUCCAAAAAGCGCAGUGAGUGCAACCACCACAGCAGCAGCGAUAACAGCCUCCGUGGGGAAAACAGUUUUUUUAUCUGUGAAGAGGGAGAGGAGGUUGACUGUUAGAUUGGUGCAGUCACAUAAUAAAGUCAUUUCACAGAGCUGGA